UACAGAGGUCUCAAGCGUUGUUCGGAUUCAUUGGGCGUAAAGGGUGCGUAGGCGGCGCGGUAAGUCGGGUGUGAAAUCUCGGAGCUUAACUUCGAAACUGCAUUCGAUACUGCCGUGCUUGAGGACUGGAGAGGAGACUGGAAUUUACGGUGUAGCGGUGAAAUGCGUAGAUAUCGUAAGGAAGACCAGUGGCGAAGGCGGGUCUCUGGACAGUUCCUGACGCUGAGGCACGAAGGUCAGGGGAGCAGACGGG
rnacentral:rRNA from 1 species